UGGCAUCGCCAUCCUUAGCUGUAGAAGC
rnacentral:piRNA from 1 species